rnacentral:misc_RNA from 1 species
CGUAGGAGCCGGCUUGCUGGCGAUGGUAUCGACUCGGUCUGUCAGAUGCACCGAGUCGAUACCAUCGCCAGCAAGCCGGCUCCUAUG